AUCCGAAAAGUUCAAUUCACUGGAUUCCAUCUUCUCCGCUCCACUGAUUUUCACCUUCCAUACCCAUUUGUGCCAUUUUAUCUUCUUCGGAUCAUUCAUUUCUCUCUUUCUCGGCAUGUUCCUUUCUUCUUUUUUUCCUUAUUUUUCUCUAUUCCGGCUACCUCACAGACAUGAUAUUUGCUUUAUGUUCUCCCUUUCUUCAUUUGUGAUAACAGGUUACGAGUUGCAAGAUUUGCUAACUUUUAUUCUCUAUGCAUGAAGAUUAUACUUCUGCGGCUAAAAAUUUAUGUGUGUAAGGAGCCUUAUGUACAAGGAGAAAAUGUUUAAUUUCCAAAGCCAGAACAAUUAGCAGGCCAAAUCAAGAGAAAGCGUUUUCAAAAUUUUCAACUUUCAAGACUUGAGGAAUUCAGACAGACAAGGGCGAUCUGUUGCAUGGACUCAGAACACUAAGAACAUCAUCGUGCUGACAGAUAUAUGCGACAUCGUACUAGAUAUGUACAAAUGUCCGCAGAGACAAACCAAUUAAUUUUAUCGCAACUGCAAGCUAAAAGAGCUGAAUCAAAAAAGAGGCUACAAUUGCAUCAUUCAAAUCAUGCACUAUCUUCUUCAAAAGUUGAUAGUCAAGCUGGAAAAUGAAGUGUGCUUGCAAUUUCUGUCCUUCAUUCGCUUCUGAGGAAGGUCAGAAAAGUAAUGAUUUACAGGUUGAUGAUUCAGAGCGCUAGGAUUCUCGUA